GGCAAGAUGAUUACACUAGAAAGACUUUUGUUCAUGAAAAAAGAUCUAAGAAUUGAUUCUUAGCUAGAUAAUCGUGCUGAAAACAGCUGAUGUCUGAUUUGAGAAACAUGUAUACCUGUUCUCGUGCUUGAUUUUUUUUAUUAACCAUUUUCCUGGAUUACAAAUAAAUUCUUUAUGAAUAAUCUUUCAGAAUUUCCAGCUUGUUUGAUAGAUAUACUUUCCAUUUGUUAUAUUGAACAAAUCAACAAUGUACAGGUCUGUGCUUGGAAUUUAAAUUGCAGAAAUUGGUCUGUUGCAACUGUUUUUGUUGAUAACAAGAGGGAUUGUGCUUGACAGAGAGCUGACCACCCAUCUAGCACACUUGGUGUUGCAGCUGGUUCUUCAUUGCUUGCACUGAAAACCAUGCGACCCUGGAGCUGCUGGAUAUACAAUCAAGGAGGCAGUAUCUCUGGUUAGAAGCAUGAUUCCAGGACAGCGAGCUCUUGCUUUGCAACUUUUGGCUGUCGUACUUGAACAGGCUUUGUGCAAUUUACAACCACAAAAUGUAACUGGUUGCGAACUUGGUGUCGCUCAACAUGGUGAUGAUUCUGUUGAC